UCUCAUAAAUGAAUAAAUAAAAUCUUAAAAAAAAAAAAGACUGGCUUAGGUGAACCCACUGGGGCUGGCUGGGGAAAAGGAGGAGGCUUGCUCCAGAAGGAACUGUCUGAGGGAU
rnacentral:snoRNA from 2 species